GGGUCUUGGUGUUGUGGGCUUACUGCCUGCCAGCCUCCUGUUACUUGGGCUCCUGACCACCAUGAUCAGACACAAAGCCAGGAACCUGGCCCAGCUCCUCCGCCUUGCAGCCUCUGAUUUGGUGCUCUAGAUUCCAGGGUCAUGACGCACAAAAACAUGAGAUCAAUUUUACAUCCAGUUUGUAUAGCUGAAUUUGUAUUAAGCCUAAAGAACUUAUUUGUGAGGCAUCUAACUCACAUAAAUAGUAAGUGCCAAACAAAUGCAUAUAGAGCAUGGAGCUGGUCAGCUUUCAGAUUUCUGUACCUUUUGACUGACCUGCUCCUCUAAAGAGAAACUUUUGGAGAAUUCACCUUUUACUCUGAGACAUCAGACACAUGUUAAGAUUCCCUGAGCAAAUAGGGGUGAGGAAGAGGGUAAGCAACAUGUUCAGAUAACAAUUGUUUCUCCAGAGUAAUGUAAUUUAUUCUGUUUGGACGAAGUACAGAUAGUAGCAAUUCUAAAUUAAAUUGACAUGUCCAUGCCCCCCCCCCACAGGUUUUAGUUAUUGUUCAGAGAGAUAAUUUAAUUUAUUAUUAUGAGUACACUCAGAUUUUCUAAAAGACAAGGAGUACCUGGAAUAAUUUUUUUUAUUACGUCUGAUGAAAUUACAUUACCUUUCCUAAAAUAACAAGUACAAAGUUUUCAAAGAAUGCUGAGUUUACUGUAAGGGGAUUUACAAACACAACAUCCUUAUAAACAAUUCCACCAUUUGGUGUGUAGCAGAAAAAGUUUUUGGGUUUGUGUUUACUCAUAUUUAUAUUAGUAAGAAUCCUGAACGUUUAUGGACAUUAGAGUAGGCAUAGAUUCGGCCUUUUUGUGUGGAGACCCCUUGAAAUGGUGUCUGUUGGAUUUCUACUUUUUAUGCCGCUGUUACAGGUGUUGUAAUUCUGUUAAUGACAUGGGCCUAAUACUUCCGCCCAUAGAAAAUUCACACAAGAAAUUAAUGCAAACAGUUUCAAAGAAAGAAAAACAAUUAGGUGUUGUCCAACUUUAGAUGUCCUUUUUGGAAGCUAAUUACCUUGACCCAUUUCAGAACUAGUUUCAGCACUUAAACAGUUUUGGUCGCACCUGAUGAGGAAUGGCUUUUGAUACCACCAUGCUUGGUAUUCUGCUGGACCCACUUUGUAGAUUGGGAGUUGGAUGCAUUGGGAGUGUUUUGAUGGUUCCUCUCCUACCUGAAGGGUUGGCUCCAGACAGCAGCAGUAAAAAGCACUUGCUCCCUCUUUUUAGUGUGUAUAUGAAUCUGUUGAGAGUGGUCAUUAGAAGAUUUGAGGCACGAUACUAUCAAUAUGCGGAUGAUACUCAGCUCUAUUUCUUCUUGCCAUCUGGGGUCUGCUGAAGCUGGACAGGUGCUGUAUCUGUGUCUGGAGACAAUAAUGAAUAAGACUGGAGCUCAGCUGGGGAAACUCUUCUGGUGAUGCCAUUGUUGAGGGAGGUCAGGAGAACUACAACUUGCCAGAGGGUCUUCUCAGCAAUCGUAUCCUGUUUACUAGGGGUUGCCAAGACCGGCUCCUGAGGUGCAGGCCCAUGGGGAUGCAAAAAUCACCUAUCAGAUUAUGGUGUAAAUAAUGUAUAUAUGUGUGGCAACAUGACAGUGCUUUCACAGCAAGAUCAAAUGCAGGAAAAUCUUCUUGUCCUUCUUGCACCGUGGCACAAAGAUGUGCAUUUUUUUUCACCCUUCCUCCUUGCUUUGCCUUCACUGCAGAUGCUUCAAGUACUUGGGUUGUAUGAAAUGUAAUAAUUUAUAAUGUGGCUAUUAUGGUAAAGUGAUGGGAGCGGGGGUUAAAGCUCCUUGCCAAGGGUUCAAGGGACCCUGGGUACACCUCUGCCCAAUUACACAACAUUCUCCAGUCUGAGCUUCAAAUGGUGCCUUGUCGAUCUUUUGGUCAUUUCAUUUCUAAUAUUUAACAGAUGGUGACUUUACUUCUUAGUUGUAUUUUACUUUUUGUCAGUUUUGGUAUUGUAUUUUAAACUGUUGCUUUAUUUAAUUUAAAUUUGUGUGUGUGCUUUUAAAUGGUUUUAAGUGUUUGCAGUGCUGUGUUUUAAGGGGGUUCUUUCAUUACUGUUAUGUGUGCUGGCGUGGUUGCUCGAGAGCAAACUGGCAAGACUCCCCGUGGGUCUUUUCUUUCUUUCUUUUUAAAUUUUUUAAUUAAAUUUUCCAACAUACAUUUAUAGUAUCCAAUCUAAAUUUAUCACAUAUUUUCUCUUUUAGACUUCCUUCAACCUCUCUGACAAUCACCCAUUAUUCAAAUUUUUAAAUACGCAUUUCCUAAUUUUAUAUUGCAUUUUAUAAACCUUCACACACUUAGUUUUCAUCAAUACAAUAGUCCUCUAUCAUUUACAGAACUUCUUGAAAUCCCACUAGCGUUAUUUGCUCAUCACAUACACAUUUCAUAUAGUCUGAAAAUUUUCCCCAGUCUUCAAUGAACUUUUGAUCUCGUAUAUAUCUGAUCUUUCCUGUUAGUUUGUCCAGUUCAGCAUACUCCAUCAGUUUCAUUCUCCAUUCUUGAGCGUCGGCAGUUGUUCCUGUUUCCAUCUUUGGGCCAAUAAUAUUCUCGCUGCUGUUACUGCAUAUUGGAAAAGUUUACAGUCCAUUCUAUUUAUUUCAUUUCCUACUAUUCCUAAAAGAAAAGCCUCUGGUUUCUUAACAAACGUAUAUUUCAACAUCUUUUUCAUCUCAUUACAUAUCAUUUCCCAGAAGCCCUUCACCUUCUUACAAUCCCACCACAUAUGAUAAAAUGUUCCUUCUUUUUCUUUACAUUUCCAACACAUUACAUGUUUUAUACAUGUAAUGUAUAAAACCCGUGGGUCUUUUCAAGGCUUUAUUAUCGGUGCAAAAACAUUCACAGUGCAGAGCGUCUCAAUUCAAUGUCUUGCUCACUCGCUAGCAGAAUCUGGGAGUGGGCGGUCCUUAAACUUUCCCCAGCAGAGUAGUCUUUUGACCCCCACCCUACGCCUCCCCUCCCUGUGCGCAAACCGACUGCGCAGAGAGGGCGUGGGCAGAGGGGGACCUGCCUCCCCCCCCUCUUUGUUCAUGCUCGGUGCUGUGUCUCCCUUGCAUCCUCCGAGCCCUGCAUCCCUUCCCCACUGGAGGCGUGGCUUUCCUCCUCCGCGGAGGAGGUGCUGCUUCUCACGAUCAUUGGAGGCUCCCUGUAACCCAACUGCCCUUCCACCUCUCGCCUCUGAGCUGAUGGCAGUUCCCUGACAAUUACUUUUUAAAGAAAUUAUAUUUUAGUUGUGUCUGUUUUAACUUACGCUGUAGGAACACUGGAAGAAAAAUGGGAAACUAAUUAUGACCCAUAAUUUUAUAAUAAUAAAUAGAAUAAAAAUAAACUUCAUGUAGCUAAAGAAGAUGCUGUUUUGCCUCCAACCUACUGCUUUUUCCAUCUGGAAUUGUUUGCAAAUUGUCUGGAAAUGCCAUUCCACUAAUACAUAACAUAGUUCACUUGACUGGGAACAGCUAGGCCACAAAAGUGAAAGUUUUUAUUCUGUGAAUGUUGGUCUUUAGAAGAGUUUGGAUUUGAUAUCCCGCCUUUCACUCCCUUUAAGGAGUCUCAAAGCGGCUAACAUUCUCCUUUCCCUUCCUUCCCCACAACAAACACUCUGUGAGGUGAGUGGGGCUGAGAGACUUCAGAGAAGUGUGACUAGCCCAAGGUCACCCAGCAGCUGCAGGUGGAGGAGCGGAGACGCGAAUCCAGUUCCCCAGAUUAGGAGACUACCGCUCUUUUUUUUUUAAAAAAAAGAUAUUUAUUGAGAUUUUCAGAAUGUUAC
rnacentral:lncRNA from 1 species